CCACSSAKAGUUUUGAUCAUGGCUCAGAUUUGAACGCUGGCGRCAGGCCUAACACAUGCAAGUCGAGCGGAUGAAGGGAGCUUGCUCUUGGAUUCAGCGGCGGACGGGUGAGUAAUGCCUAGGAAUCUGCCUGGUAGUGGGGGAUAACGUCCGGAAACGGGCGCUAAUACCGCAUACGUCCUGAGGGAGAAAGUGGGGGAUCUUCGGACCUCACGCUAUCAGAUGAGCCUAGGUCGGAUUAGCUAGUUGGUGGGGUAAAGGCCUACCAAGGCGACGAUCCGUAACUGGUCUGAGAGGAUGAUCAGUCACACUGGAACUGAGACACGGUCCAGACUCCUACGGGAGGCAGCAGUGGGGAAUAUUGGACAAUGGGCGAAAGCCUGAUCCAGCCAUGCCGCGUGUGUGAAGAAGGUCUUCGGAUUGUAAAGCACUUUAAGUUGGGAGGAAGGGCAGUAAGUUAAUACCUUGCUGUUUUGACGUUACCAACAGAAUAAGCACCGGCUAACUUCGUGCCAGCAGCCGCGGUAAUACGAAGGGUGCAAGCGUUAAUCGGAAUUACUGGGCGUAAAGCGCGCGUAGGUGGUUCAGCAAGUUGGAUGUGAAAUCCCCGGGCUCAACCUGGGAACUGCAUCCAAAACUACUGAGCUAGAGUACGGUAGAGGGUGGUGGAAUUUCCUGUGUAGCGGUGAAAUGCGUAGAUAUAGGAAGGAACACCAGUGGCGAAGGCGACCACCUGGACUGAUACUGACACUGAGGUGCGAAAGCGUGGGGAGCAAACAGGAUUAGAUACCCUGGUAGUCCACGCCGUAAACGAUGUCGACUAGCCGUUGGGAUCCUUGAGAUCUUAGUGGCGCAGCUAACCGCGAUAAGUCCGACCCCSCCC
rnacentral:rRNA from 1 species